CUAUUGGAAACAUAUGAAGAAUUUAAAGAUGUCAUCACCAAAAAAGGCAAUACAGCGGCAAUAAAUAAAGCAAGAGAGAAAGGUUGGCAGGAAAUUGCUGAUCUUCUCAAUGCGUAAGUAGCGGUGUAAGCUAUUUAAAAUAAUUUAUCAACAUUGAAUGUGUGUCACAAUACAUUGCAAAGUUUGUGUGUGAAUAACAGUAAUGUUAAUUGCUUUCAUGCAGCAGCAACUUAAGUGAAGCAAAAAGAACCUGGCAGCAGGUGAAAAUAAAAUAUAAAAAUAUAGUUCAGAAUGCGACCAAAAAGAAGACUGAGGUUGCUGGCACUGGGGGAGGGCCACCACCAGCCAGCUUCACUCCUGCAGAGGAGCUGGCUUUGGAAAUUAAUAAAGGGAGGCCCGUCCUUGAGGGAAUAGAGGGGGGGACAUCAUCUAAAAUUAUAUCACGUAGUAUAAGUAGUGAGUAUAUAAAAGAUUCUGUAUGCUGUAUGGAUCCACCAGACAUCAUGUUGCCUGGAGAAGUGAUGGGAGUUGAGGAGGAUGAGGAGACUGUCUGUAUGUUCAAGGAGGCCUGAGGAUGCUGACACUGUUCUAGAGCCCUCUCAGUCUGGGACAACAUGUGACAAAAACCCAGAAAACAUAAAAGGAGUGUAUAAACGCUACCUCCUUAAACAAAUGGAAGUGAUUGAUAUCGACAUCCAGUAUAAAAAACUGAAGAUGAGGAAGUUGGAGCUGGAAAUUCAACAGCUACAGAAAAAUGCAAGUAGAACUACCAUUUUUAAAAAAGGAAAAGAAAAAAAAAGCCCUUUUUGAUCACUUUCCACAACAUUUAUUUGUGUGUUUUCACCCCUAACAGGCAGAUUCAAUCUGAAUAAAGACAAAUCACAUUAUAUACUUUGACUUCUGUGUGUUUGUUCAACUAAGGAGAAAGUUGAGGGGCCAGUGGAACAUUUUAAAGGCUACACAUGGUUUAGAUCAUAUUAAGCAAAAUAAUUAUUUGCAUAUGUGUCU